UACGAAGGGGGCUAGCGUUGUUCGGAAUUACUGGGCGUAAAGGGCGCGUAGGCGGUGUGUCAAGUCAGGCGUGAAAGCCCUGGGCUCAACCUAGGAAGUGCAUUCGAUCCUGUGGAGCUGGAGUCCUGGAGAGGAAGGCGGAAUUCUCGGUGUAGAGGUGAAAUUCGUAGAUAUCGAGAGGAACACCGGUGGCGAAGGCGGCCUUCUGGACAGUGACUGACGCUGAGACGCGAAAGCGUGGGGAGCAAACAGG
rnacentral:rRNA from 1 species